UCUGGUCAAAGAACUUGCAGAGGUGUCAGUUCAGAGUGCUGCUGGGUGUUUAAUACUUGAGUCUGUCCUCAUCACUGUAAUUGCUCAGCCAACUGCACCUGCUCGUGAUGUCGCCGCGGAGCACGGCGCUUUCUCUUUUUUCUAGUCCCUGGCGCUCUUGGAUUGCCAGCGAAACUUUAUCCCGCAAGGAGAAAUACUGAUGAUGCCAACAGACUAGCCGUUUCACCACAAGAAUCAGCAAGAUCUUCUCUCCGAUCUUGUUUUCCACGUCUCACGCUGAUUAGAGCACGAAAUUAUAUUCCGACGGGCCGAACUUAGAGGUCAACCUGCUGAGGUGGUAAAAUCGUGCCUUAGCUUGUUCCCCCUCACCCACUAUUCUUGCGAGCUUCUCGCACCGCCAACUAAGGGUGGAGGAAGAAAAGAAUUAAACAAGGACUAGAAGACAAAAAGAAUACCAAGUAUGUUCAUCCCGCAAACUAUGCAACCAUGAAAGAGAAUAUGUAUAACCUUAGAGGAGUUCUCGAGUACUUGAACAUAGUUCGACAAUCGGAUGAGUGCAUACUGUUCCUUUCAGAGUCA
rnacentral:sRNA from 1 species